GGGUGCAUUACUGGGCAAUGACUUCUCUGGCUGUUGGCAAUUCAGGUGAUUAGGCUGAGAAGCUAUAUAACCUCACUGCCAAAGAAGAUUUGCCCCGCAAUUCAAUC
rfam:Lupinus angustifolius cultivar Tanjil chromosome LG12, whole genome shotgun sequence.